CUAGUUUGAAUACGCAGGGAGUAGUAUCUGUUCUUAUCACACUAUUAUCUGAUACGGAUUGUAUUUAAACCCAAGAUGUUAAACCUAUUUUUGCGAUGUGGCGGAGUGCUUGAAGCCUGCUUCAUGGCGGAGUCCUUGAAGCCUGGCUCGAUAUUGCACAAUCUUCGGGAUUUUUGCUCUACGA